rnacentral:misc_RNA from 1 species
GGAAGUAAAAGUCAUAACAAGGUUUCCGUAGGUGAACCUGCGGAAGGAUCAUUAUUGUAUAACCGAGGUGCGAGGGCUGUCGCUGACCCGAAAGGUCGUGCACGCCCGAGUGCCCUCACACACAUCCAUCUCACCCCUAUGUGCACCACCGCGUGGGUCCCCCUUUGGCUUGUUCGGAGGGGGGCUUACGUUUUCACACAAACUUUGUAUGCAGUGUAGAAUGUAUUUUUUGUUUUUGCGAUCACGCAAUCAAUACGACUUUCAACAACGGAUCUCUUGGCUCUC